rnacentral:lncRNA from 1 species
GCAUUACGUCAUUACGUGACUCAACAAUGGAUCGAUGGAUGGAUGUAUAGUGUAAACAAUUCAAUCCGGGGGGAGUGCUUGCAAAUUAUUUUCGUAGCUUUGCAACGUUCAGCCAGCAUAUAUAUUAAAAAAUUUUCAAAUAAGAUUUUAUAUUUUUAUUCACAACGACAGAUGUUUUUCUGAUUUACAUUAUCUAGCAUUUAGAGGAACAAUCAUAAAUUAAAUAUCAAUUUUAAGAUAUGAAUGGCUAAUAUGUGUAGGUACUUUCUCGCCCUCAGUGCAACAAAAUCAAAUGAAACAACACACUUGCUCUGCACUGCGCCAAUUUUAAUAUGGUGGUGUCGGAGGAGUUGCAGUACAAUGUUGUGUAUAGAACGGGUCUAUCAUUACUAUCAAAGUCAAAGAUGCAGUCACUUUUAACCUUGUUUUUGUGCUUAUAUUAUCUAACAAAGAAACAGAGUGAUACAGAAUAUAAAAAAGUGCCUGUGGAGUGUGGUCAUGAUAGUUUUAAUAUAAAUUAGCUUACACAUUUUAUUAAAAAUAACUCAAUACCGUAUACUACCUAUAAGGGUUGUAUAAGUAUAAACAACUUGCAUCUUAUAUUGCCAUUUUGUUGUAACUGUAAAAUUUUACUCUGGAGCACAGGCAUGCAAAAAGAGACUAUGGUUCUUAAUUCUUUAAUGUUUAUAUUAAAUAACGAUGGUAGUUAAUGUCAUGAUCACAGACACAGGCUCUGACAACAGGCGAAUCUUACUGCAUUUAUAACAAAACCUGAUUAAAUUAUUAUAUAAGACGUACUUAGUUAUUGUUAUUUUGUCUUGAAUAUUAAGCCAUUCAACCCAAGCAUAUGCGUAAACAUCUGAUCAAACUCUAUACACUGUCAAAAUGCCAAUGUAGUACACAAAGUAGUUAAAUGUAGUUCUAUAAUUAGCGCUGCAAAGCUUAUACAUUUCAAUCACGCAACACAAAUAUUUUAGCGAUUGUGAUUUGUUCUAGAGAUCUGAGCACUGUAUGUGCUGCCUCUGAUGUGCUGUUUUAGCAUGAACAUAUUUGAUUUUUAAAUUGGGCAAUUGAUUUUAAAUUAAGGAAAUUGAAGGCUCAUGCAUUAUAUUUUCUAAUGAUCGAUAUAGUCAUGUUUAUUCAAUAUAGUCUGCAUAUUAUAUAUGCCAAGUCUGCAAUUUCAGUAAGCAGCUUUAUAUACAUUCUGCCUUUUAUACAUUUUCUGCAGUCUACACUAUAGUUUAUACUGACUCUGUAUGCUAUUUGUCAUUAUAAAAUUCAUUAAUAAUUCAUGAGGAAACAAAUGUUUAAUCAAUGUUUGUAAAUCGCAUAAAGAUUUGUCCUGAUUAACAUAAACUUCAGCUUUGAUUUUCUCGCCUUAGACAAUGCAUGUUUAUUUUUAAAUUACUUCGCCAAUGAACUCAUAAGAUCGGUUGUUUUAUAAUUGCGAUAAAACAUUCGCAUCUCGCCUUCGGCUUGUGUUUGUAUAUCAGAUAAAAAAUGUCUAGUACUUAUGUUCCAUUAGUAUGUGUGAGAAAAUUAUAUUUCUGGAAAUGUAAACAGCAUACUAAAGUAAUCAAUUAAAAUUCUGUAGUAUAUACAGACUAUAAAAGUAUAAUAAUACAGACCAUGCACGAUAAAGGGUGGAUGUGGGGCCUAUAUAUAGACCCCUUAUAGUGUGCACACCCCUUAUAGUGCUUUCUGGUCAGUUGUCAUAUCAACUUUGCACUAUCCUUGGGAUCUCUGAGUUGACAAUUAUCAGAUGGUUCACAUUAUUUUCUAGUUAUAGACUUAUUAUAAUUGUAGGAAAAAGUGGUUGAAUCAAGCAGCAAGAAUAAUAAUCUUAACUAUGAGAUCAUGUACACAACAUAGUUUCAGUUCUUUUAAAACCGUCUUUGAACUUUUUGUUCAAGCCUAGUGACUUAUUUCAGUAGAUGAAAAUCAUCCCACCUUUUAUCCUGUCCUGACAAACUGUGAUCAUGUGAACAGCACUGUUAGUCAUUAAGUUGAUUUUCACCGUAAUUUACAUACUUUACCAACUCUGUCUAACGUCAGACAAUUUUAUUAAUCAGGGGGAGCACUGCAGUUAGUGAGUAAUUAGAAGCAUGGGCAGUCUCGUUAUGAAGCAUAAAAUCGUCUUGCGUUGGACAGUAAAAAACUGAGUAGAGUAUGCUUCAUGGUACAGCACAACAAAAUGGUUUAAAUUUUAUAUCUGAAUUAAUGAUUGUUUUGCUUUGUUUUACAGAUCAUUACUGAACAUGGUGAUGGAAUAGUAAUUUAUAAAAUGUCAUGUUACCAAGAUAAGGCACUUCAAGGAGCAAUAUACAUGGGGAAAUAUCUUUAUUUUCCAACAAUGACAAUACAUCAAAGACAGUAAGAUCACAAAGCCAUGAAUUUGAAGAAAAUGUACCAAAUGACAAAGACGAUGAUGAAAUUGGAUGCUUGAGACGAAAUGAAAGGAUCGAAUGUUAUGGUCAGUAAUGGAUAUUUGUGGUUAUACUAAAUGGAUACAAAGAGACCAUGAUGGGUAAAUAUGGCCCUGUAAUGGUAGUCAGUUAAUGGAUAUACAAAGGCCACAGAAAU